rnacentral:rRNA from 1 species
CCAAACGACUCUCGGCAACGGAUAUCUCGGCUCUCGCAUCGAUGAAGAACGUAGCGAAAUGCGAUACUUGGUGUGAAUUGCAGAAUCCCGUGAACCAUCGAGUCUUUGAACGCAAGUUGCGCCCGAAGCCAUCAGGCCAAGGGCACGUCUGCCUGGGCGUCA